GAAGAUUCAUAUCUCUUCAAGCUGGAAACUGUUUCCUUUUCAUCUUUGAAGUUGGAAAUUAUUUCACACAUUUUGCAACAUGAAGUCUUUAGAACGCUUAAACCUAAAGAUGUAGAAUCAUUUCAGACAUUUUAAGACACUUCAGAGUUAUAGGAUUUGUCUCAGAGAUGCUGUUGCUCAGGGAAGCAAGACAGUCCUGCACACUUCUUCCCCACUUCCUCCGUUUGAGGUUCUAAUAUUAAGAUGUGGAACUAAAUUCAUUCCCAGCACCCAUUAAGGAGAAAAUAAGUGUCCCAAAACUGGUUUGACCUGCUGCAUUCCAUCAUAAGGAUCACGCAAUGAAUGUGACAAUGCAAUAGCUGAAAUAAAGACUACGUCUGUAGUGGUGCAGAUAAGUGGCGAAGUCUUUCAUUUAAUGAUAAGACACGUGUUUGUUUUCACGAUUGCUUUUCCAUUGAGUUUCCACAGUCCUCUGUAUGAACAGAGAAAGAGCAAGGAAGAAAUAAGUGAAGCUGCAAAAUAGACAUCCAGAUAACACAGACAAAAGCAAGAGCUUCAAGGUAACCUCUCUACAAAGGAGCUUCUGACUCUUCCAGCGGCUUCUGCUAGUGCAUCUGGGACCUUGACUUGGGUAUUCCAGGAGUGGACUUUCAGAUUGCACACACUAUUAAUAUUCACUGCUCCAGAGUGUUUUCCUGUCUCCCACUAAGCAUUUUACAUAACAUUCAGCCACACAAUCUACCCAAGACCAGAUUUUUUCCAGGUAGUAUCAGAAGUAACAAC
rnacentral:lncRNA from 1 species